rnacentral:rRNA from 1 species
GAUGAACGCUGGCGGCGUGCCUAAUACAUGCAAGUCGAGCGAACGGACGAGAAGCUUGCUUCUCUGAUGUUAGCGGCGGACGGGCGAGUAACACGUGGAUAACCUACCUAUAAGUCUGGGAUAACUUCGGGAAACCGGAGCUAAUACCGGAUAAUAUUUUGAACCGCAUGGUUCAAAAGUGAAAGACGGUCUUGCUGUCACUUAUAGAUGGUUCCGCGCUGCAUUAGCUAGUUGGUAAGGUAACGGCCUACCAAGGCAACGAUGCAUAGCCGACCUGAGAGGGUGAUCGGCCACACUGGAACUGAGACACGGUCCAGACUCCUACGGGAGGCAGCAGUAGGGAAUCUUCCGCAAUGGGCGAAAGCCUGACGGAGCAACGCCGCGUGAGUGAUGAAGGUCUUCGGAUCGUAAAACUCUGUUAUUAGGGAAGAAAAUAUGUGUAAGUAACUGUGCACGUCUUGACGGUACCUAAUCAGAAAGCCACGGCUAACUACGUG